AGAAAAAAAAAUACAAGCAACUUUGUCUUUUGAACUACCUUUGACCUGAUUCUUGUUACCACAAGAUACGUAGGCAGCCUCACGGUUCGGUCACACGAAAUAAAAUGUUUUAUAAUUUCCCGAAAUCAAUAUUGGGGCAGAUUUUUUUAGAAACGCCAUGGAAAAGAAAAGAAGAAGAAAAUAAUCCCCCUUAACUCCGAGAAACUGGGGCAGAAGUUUUAGUUUUGAAAAAUAAAUCUGAUUCUAAAAGUUGUAAUUUUUAACCCUUUCAUCUUAAAUUAUUUUGAGCCUUCAUGCCACCCCUUUCUUUCCAGCCCUGUCCAAAAGCCUACAUUACGGUCCAAAGAAAGACCUUCCGACCAAUCUUUGAGGAAGUCAAGUAAAGUGUGUGGUAAAAGUAUGAUCUUGUGUCUUGGGUAAUAACUUUGUUCUCAGCACAAAGAGAGAAAAUGGUAAAAUGAGAGUCUUAUCGGUGAAAAAUCUCAUGGGCACCGUAAGGCGACAGGGAGUUGAGAAAAGAGCAAAAUGAGAGGGGCUUGAUGGUUAAAACCCUUCAGGGCACUACAAGUCGAUUGAGGAUUGUGGAUCAUAUGGGACAAUUGAAGCACUGAAGCCCAAUUUCACAGGAAAGAGGUACAAAAAGCAUUGAAUAAUAUACUUGCUUGAGAGAUUAGGCUACUUAAUCCAAGUGCAUGUCGUGGUCAUUAGUGUCAGUAUCCUCAUUUGAUAAGUUUCUACUUCGUAAUUUUCUUGUUAGGUAUCAUCUCUUUCUCUUGUCCCUUAUUUUGUUCCUCUUGUUUUAUUUGAGUCCCUUCUUGAGUCUAUUUGGUCAAGUGAGAAAUGACUUCAAAAUCUACUACCAGCUUUCCAAUUGCACAAAGUCGAGUCUGGCAAGCACAUCAAAAUGGCAUAAGAUACAGGAGAAUAGUGUGUGCAUUGAGUUGGCAAUAAUAGAUGUUCUUUGGGAUUAAUGUAAAAUGCAAAGAUUGGAUGAAUGUCAGAACACUAGUGCAAUGCAACAGGCAUAGAGUAUUGGAUUUGAAUGAAUCAGGAAUAUUUUUGUGAUAAGGGUUUUCCGAAAAAGCAGUCGGUCAAUAACAAGCACUGUCUUCCAAAUUUAAGUCCAAGUUGAUCGUGACAAGUGCAAGAUCAGCCGCCUUCAAAGUCAAGGCCACAAACUAACCACCACAUUUUAAACACACAAGUUUUCUUUGUUUGAAACAGGAACAAUGCAGAGCAACCAAGCUGGUUCAAAAACAAGAAAGAAAAGAGAAAGAAAAGAAAAAGAAAAGCGGAAUCGACGAAGGGAAGUUUCUCAAAUCUUUUUCCUUACCUGUUUGGCUAGUGUGCCUAAAUGUUGCCAUUGCUCUUCACAUUUUUCCUCCUAGGAUAAAAGUCCUAGUCUGAUGGAUUUUCCUCUCAAUCAAAAUCUUAGUCUGAUGAACUCUCUCCUAGGACAAAAAUCUUAGUUUGAUAAAUAUUUCUCCUAAGAUAGCAAAAAAAGGGGGGGGGAGGGGGGACCUAGUCUGAUGAAUUUUCUCCUAGGAUCAAAAUCUUAGUCUAAUGAACCUUUCUCCUAAGAUAGAAAACCUAGUCUGAUGAACUUUAUCUUAGGAUAAAAAUCUUAGUGUGAUGAAUUUUUCUCCUAAGAUGAAAAAAACCUAGUCUGAUGAAUUUUCUCCUAGGAUCGAAAUCUUAGUAUGAUGAAUCUUUCUCCUAAGAUAACAAAAUAGACCUAGUCUGAUGAAUUUUCUCCUAGGAUAAAAAUCUUAAUAUGAUGAAUCUUUCUCCUAAGAUAAGAGACCUAGUCUGAUGAAUUUUCUCCUAGGAUCGGAAUCUUAGUCUAAUGAAUCUUUCUUCUAAGAUAGAAGACCUAGUUUGACGAAUUUUCUCCUAGGAUCAAAAUCUUAGUCGGAUGAACCUUUCUCCUAAGAUAACAAAAAAAUAAGAAAAAGAUAAAAGAGGAAUUAGUCUGAUGAAUCUUUCUAACAAAAAGGACCUAGUCUGAUGAAUUAUCUCCUAGGAUAAAAAUCUUAGUCUGAUGAAUUUUUCUCCUUAGAUAUGAAAACCUAGUCUGAUGAACUUUCUCAUAGGAUAAAAAUCUUAGUCUGAUGAAUUUUUCUCCUAAGAUAGAAAACUUAGUCUGAUGAAUCUUUCUCCUAAAAUAUAAAAAAAAGAAAAAGAAAGAAAGAGGAAUUAGUCUGAUGAAUUUUCUCCUAGGAUCGAUAUCUUAGUCUGAUGAAUCUUUCUCCUAAGACAGAAGACCUAAUCUAUGAACUUGCUAGUCAAAUAUUCUUGGUUUUACUCACGGGUGAAGAAUAUCUUAGUCAAGUCUUUAGUUUUACUCUCUUUAUUGCAUCAGUAGCAUAAGUAUGUUUACAGUUUUGAUAACAACUCGCCGAUCUUUCUAGUGCAAACUGUGGCAGAAAAUUUUAUUUGUUUUGUUUUUGAUUGCAGGCACCCACUUGGAAAAUGAGGGAAGAUAUUUCAGAGUUCAUUUCAGAAUUAGUUCAAGUUUCAAGUCAGUAUCAGGCACCCACAUGGAGAACAAGGGAAGUCAUUUCAAAAUUCAAUUCAAGUAGAAGUAGCAGAAGCUCGCGGCAAGAAUGCGAGUCAACAAUCGUAGGUGACCAAUAGAAGUAGUCUCAAUAAAAAAAGAAAAAAGAAAGAAAAAAAAAGAAAAAAGAAAGAAAAUAAGUAAAUCAAAAUGCAAAGCCGAGACAAGAGGUGGAUUGCGGAAGACAUGACUAAAGUCACAAGCAUGGUGUGUCCGGUUUUGAUCCAAGAAGCUGAAGAAGAAUGAACUAGCACCUAGUGAGCAUCAAUGUUCAGAUCUGAAGUCUGCAUGAAGAACCAUUCAAGACUCAAGAUCAAGCUUCAGAAGACUUAUAGAUAGGAAUCUUGUAACUCAUAGUUGACAGUCUUAGUUAGUCGUUUUCAUAGUUUUGAUUUUUGAUGUAAUAACAGGACCACGGACCGGAACCUCGAUGGCACCUCGAUCGGCUCUCCACCUCAGUACACUCCUUUAGUUAGUCACUUUCUUAGUUUUGAUUUUGAUGUGAUAACAGGACCACGGACCGUAACCUCGACAGCACCUCGAUCAGCUCUCCACCUCGGUAUACUCCAUCAUCUAUUCACUUCUGAACUACACGUGGUCUGAUUCCUUUAUAGCCAAGGAUAUGUAGGCAGCUCAGAUGCCAGGGCUCGGCCACAUUCUCCUUUCUUUUAGCUUUUGGUCUUUUUAAAUAAGGGUCGGGUCAAAAAACCUGUCUAGUCGUUCUUUGUCUAAAAAUACUUUGUAUUUUCAAUCAAAGAGGGGCAGCUGUAGACAUGUGAUUUUUGACACUCCCCAAGAUUUUUCAUAUUUUAGUAUUUAAAUAUUUAAUUUAUGUCUAAUAUAGUUAUUUCAAUAAAUUUUGGCUCUUUUACAUUACUUUAAGAACAAAAAUCAAAAAUUACAAAAAUAGUUCCAUAUUUUUCUAGUUAAUUCACGUAUUAGAUAUUUUUAGGAGGAUAUAUUACUUUAACCCUAUUUUUAUUCUAAUAUAAUCCUUGAAAAUACCAAAAAUAGUUCCAACUUUAAUUUUUAGUUUUAUUUUUAAUAAAAAUAACUUAUUAAAAUUAAUGUAGAGUUUGUAUAGGUAUUAAAUUUGAAUUUUCAGUCCUUUUUGGCCCAAUUUUAUAAAUUUCGGAGUCCAAUUCAAAUAUGAGCCCAAAAUUAAACAAACCAACCCAGUACCCUAUGUAACCCAUCAGAUUUUCCUUCUUUGGGGAAUUUAAAAACGAAGAUCUAGAAAAACCCUAAAAGAGAAGGGUCUUCUUCUUACACAAGAUAAAACAAAAACAAAAAAUCCUAGGACCCUAAAAACAAGAGACAACCGCUACAAACGACUACCUACCUUCAGCCGUAGAACACAAACCCAUUUAUCUCCAUCGCUAGACGGAACCAAAUCUGACCGGAAUCAUGUAAUUCUGAUGACUCUCCAGUGAAUCCGGAGAAGCAGGUGUUCGAACCAGCAACUCUCGUCCUCUAUUCAUCUUUUAAGAAUAGCAGCAAACCCCAAAACUCUUGUCGUCUUUUCAAAUCUUGGGUUGUCAUUACUCAGUCUUUAAUUUUGGGGUUAGAUUUUGAAAUUUUGUCUAGUUUCAGGGGUUCUUGUUCUCGGUUAUCGGUUCUAGUUCGAUGAGGGCCUGUGCUGAGGCUCUCAGAUAUGAUUGAGGUCCGUUCGAGAUGGUCUGUUGGUUUUGGUCGGGGUUAAAUCAAGUCCGAGUUUGUUUUUUUGAGUUCGUCGAGGUCUGGUCAAGGUUCAGCCGUGUUUUGCUAUUGUUCGACGAGCUGUCCGCCUGUAAUUACGAAAGGUUCUGUUCAAGUUUUCUCCUAUGCAUUUUCUGUUUGGCCGAUUGUAUUUCCGACUUAAGCCUAUAUUGUCAAUCAAAGUUUUUUGAGAUGACUAAGGUGCCGAUUCGAGUUUCCAUUCGCGGUACGUUACAUUUUUGAGAUCAAAAUAGUGAAGCAAUCAAUUUUCCGGCUACAUUGGUCUAAUUCUCUCAUCCUUUAUCCAUUUUAUUCAAAGCUUCAUGUUAAAUGUUUGUUUGGUGAUAUGAUUAUGUUAUUAUGUGAUUAUUCUCCGUAGUUUCAAAUUUACUUAUUGGUUAUUGUUGAACAUGAUUUUAUCACAUUGUAGAAAUCGGGUUGUUGGGUAAAUGUAAAAGAGAUUUAGGUGUAGGAUAAAUUAUAUUGGCCUUUAUUCUUGUUUAUUUACUUUAUUUUCAGUACACCAUUCGCUAGGAGAAUGAUUAGGCCGAUCGCGAGAGGUUGUUUACCAUAGUUAAAUUUAUCCGGGGAAUGCCCCAAAGAAUUUGUAUAUAUUAUUAUCCGGGGUAUGCCCUGAAGCAUCAUGUAUUUGGAGGCCGUGAUGAACACUGUGGAGGAAGUACAAUUUAGGCUAGCUUUUUUUAAUUUAUUUAUUAGGUGGGUCCUCGAGCUCUUGUGUUUUUUUUGUGCUUUUUCUUUUCUAUGUUUAGUUAUACCUCAAUCGAAUAUUUUAAUAGCCAACUAGAUUGAGUACGCAACUGUGACUUUCACGGGACUUGGGGAGUUCCUAACACCUUCUCCCCGAGUCAAAUGAACCCCCUCACCCGAAUCUCUGGUGUAUACUUAGUUUUAGAGUCUCAAGUGUUUUGAAAGGAAAAUUACUAUUUUUGGAAAAUCGGUGACCUGACACACCGAAGUUAAAUAUCAGGUGGCGACUCUGAGUUAAUCCUUUUGUACACCAUUUUCGUCACUUUCAAUUGAAAACACUUUUCAAGCUUUUAUUAAAUCCUUUUAGUUAUUUAAAUGAGUUUAGUGAGCUUUUUUAAAAAAAAAAGGGUGUGACAAAUUUAAGAUCAUGAUUCAACAUUCUGUUUCUCAUUGCAUUUUCUUAUUUGGACUUCACAUUGAGAUUCAAGUAUAUUUUUCUGGAAAUGGGGCAAAAGAGGUAAAGAAGCAGUAGUUACAACAGAACAGAAACAAACAAGCAACCAAUGUGAAAUAGGCAAUAACAGUGAUUCCCAGCACCUAACUUGAAACCAGUUCUGCUAUUUAAACCAUUUCUCUAUUUCAGCAAUUACACUAUCAAUUUUCAAGAAUUCUUUGCCACAAAGAAUCAGAAAAUACCAAACCAGAAGCAAAAUUUUUAUUUUAAUAAUGUAGAAACUCAUAAUUUUUAUAAGAAAGCUCAGCCGUUUUAGUUUUGGGAUCUAUCUCUCUUCAAAAUCUGCCUUCAACCUCAAGUAACAAUGUCUUUAUAGGCAAGCUAUUAGUGUAGCCUAAAAUAAAUUAAAAUUAUAUUUGAACCCUUUUUCAACUUUUGUUUUAGCUCCCAUACCCCUAAUACAAAUUUCAAAAUUUCAAAACAGUCCCAAACCCCCUUUCUUGAAAGCUUUCUAAGGUUGUUACAAAAGAUUCCCCUAUCUAUACCUUAGCAGCCCUGUUUUUUACUGCAGGAAACCAAAUGGGUAUGGGUCACCUUGACCCAAGGUUUCAAUUCAACAAACUGGGCUAAUCUCCUCCCUUUGGACCGAGUUCCAAUUCAGAAACCCAAUAAAAAAGAAUUGAAAGCAAAACAAAUAAUAGUAAAAGAAAAAUAUUUGGGCGCAAAUGAAUUGUAAGCCCGAAGUAACACAUGCUGCAACAUUUCAACAAUUAAUAAAUUAGGCUAAAUGACUUACUAGCUAGAAUUUAACCAAACUGACCAAAAACAGUUUCAGUUUUAACCAAGCAUGACCAAAUGAAUAAUAAAAUAAAAAAGAUCGGNNNNNNNNNNNNNNNNNNNNNNNNNNNNNNNNNNNNNNNNNNNNNNNNNNNNNNNNNNNNNNNNNNNNNNNNNNNNNNNNNNNNNNNNNNNNNNNNNNNNNNAAAAAAAAAAAAAAAAAAAAAAAAAAAAAAAAAAAAAAAGAAGCAGAGAAAUGGAAGAAGAAAAAUGAAAAAACGAAUAAAUAGAAGAAAAAGAAGAAAAUACCUACUAAAAGCUCGGAUAAUGACAAGUAGAGCUUGAGUCUUCAAAUCCUCCGAUUUUCCGGCCAAAUUUGAUAUUAUUAGAGCACAUGAAUAAAAUCAGAUUAAACCCGAAAUUUCAACAAAAUCUUAACUUGAAAUUUUUAGGGUUCUGUGAUUUAAUACUCGGGGAGUCUCGGCCAUGUUCGAGGGAAAUGGAGCGGGGAUUUGGAAAGAUAGGAGUGAGGGGGUCAUUGGAUGUUAGUUUGGGGAUGGUUGGAGGUGGCGCCGCCACCGGAUGGUGGUGGGAUUUUGGGGAGGCUACUAGGAUUUGGGGGUUGGUCUUAAGAGAGAGGGGUGUGAGAGAGAUGAG
rnacentral:lncRNA from 1 species